rnacentral:rRNA from 1 species
GUCGAACGGAAAGGCCCUGCUUGCAGGGUACUCGAGUGGCGAACGGGUGAGUAACACGUGGGUGAUCUGCCCUGCACUUCGGGAUAAGCUUGGGAAACUGGGUCUAAUACCGGAUAGGAACCAUCUUUAGUGUGGUGGUUGGAAAGUUUUUUCGGUGUAGGAUGAGCUCGCGGCCUAUCAGCUUGUUGGUGGGGUAAUGGCCUACCAAGGCGGCGACGGGUAGCCGGCCUGAGAGGGUGUACGGCCACAUUGGGACUGAGAUACGGCCCAGACUCCUACGGGAGGCAGCAGUGGGGAAUAUUGCACAAUGGGCGCAAGCCUGAUGCAGCGACGCCGCGUGGGGGAUGAAGGCCUUCGGGUUGUAAACUCCUUUCGCUAGGGACGAAGCUUUUUGUGACGGUACCUAGAUAAGAAGCACCGGCUAACUACGUGCCAGCAGCCGCGGUAAUACGUAGGGUGCGAGCGUUGUCCGGAAUUACUGGGCGUAAAGGGCUCGUAGGUGGUUUGUCGCGUCGUCUGUGAAAUUCUGGGGCUUAACUCCGGGCGUGCAGGCGAUACGGGCAUAACUUGAGUGCUGUAGGGGUAACUGGAAUUCCUGGUGUAGCGGUGAAAUGCGCAGAUAUCAGGAGGAACACCGAUGGCGAAGGCAGGUUACUGGGCAGUUACUACGCUGAGGAGCGAAAGCAU